rnacentral:tRNA from 1 species
GACGCGGUGGCCUAAUGGUUUAGCGCGUUGGACUCCGGAUCAAGCGAUCCGGGUUAGAUCCCUAGCCUGGGUCA